UGGAACGGGGAAGAACCCUUACCUACUCUUGACAUCCAGAGAACUUUCCAGAGAUGGAUUGGUGCCUUUGGGAACUCAGAGACAGGUGCUGCAUAGCUGUUGUCAGCUCGUGUUGUGAAAUGUUGGGUUAAGUCCCGCAACGAGCGCAACCCCUUUCCUUAUUUGCCAGCGCGUAAGGCCGGGAACUCCAGGGAGACUGCCGGUGAUAAACCGGAGGAAGGUGGGGAGGACGUCAAGUCAUCAUGGCCCUUACGAGCAGGGCUACACACGUGCUACAAUGGCGCAUACAAAGGGCAGCCAACCCGCGAGAGCGAGCUAAUCCCAAAAAUUUCUUCGUAGUCCGGAUUGGAGUCUGCAACUCGACUCCAGAAGUCGGAUCGCUAGUAAUCGGUUCACAGAAGAAAUUCG
rnacentral:rRNA from 1 species